CAGUUUCAACUUCGUGUUUCCAGUGUCCACCCAUUAGCGAACAUCAUAUAGAAUUAGCCUUUUCCCCUCGUCCUUGUUCGAUUCAUCUCUAGCGAGCGAUUGGAUCCCUCAAAGCUUAAAAAUUCAAAAAACCUUGAUCUUUUAGAUGGCUAAUAGAGCUCCUGUCAAAACUAACAACUCAGCCCUCAUUGCCAUGAUCGCUGAUGAGGACACAAUUAUAGGAUUUUAUCUGGCUGGAGUUGGGAAUGUCGAUUUGAGGAGGAAAACAAAUUACCUUAUUGUGGAUUCAAUGUCCAAGAUGAAGAACUGGAAUAUCAAGUACCUUAAUAUCCUGUUCCCUCCAAGGUAGAAACAAGAGAAUGCUUCAGUGGAUAAAGACCCAUAUCACAUAUCCUUCUUUAUUUUUUAUAAGAGAAUGUUUUGGACCUUUUCACUCGGGCUUUAUUGCUUUGCUAUUACUCACAACUGCAAUUUGAAAAGGCUUUGGAAGGGUUUUAUGAUGGAAGCAAUGGUUAGGGAAAGUAUAAUGGCUCCUUGGUAUGAUCUUCCGAGAGAUCUUGUUGAAAGAAUCAGUAAAUGCUUCGACAACCAUAUUGACGUCCUCCGCAUUCGUGCACUCUACAAUUCAUGGCGUUCAACAAUUCCUAUUACUUUCAAAAUCCCUAAAUCUCUGUCUCCCAUUAAACUGCCUUUACCCUACGGCAUAUUCCAUGGUGGACAUCUAAAAUUUCAGUUUGAUUUUUUCGAAAGUAACGUUUAUCUUUCCAACUUUCUCAUCCUCCUCACACAGCCUGGUUGGUCAACGUUUGUAAUGAUCUAUUAGGUCAUUUUGAGAACUAGAGCUUUUUAUUUCAUAAAAGACUAAUACCAUAAAUUUUAAUGAGUAUUUUGGACUAUUCGAUAACUACAAUUAUUUAG